UGCAUAGAUGGGAAAACAUGAACUUAUAAA
rnacentral:piRNA from 1 species